rnacentral:tRNA from 1 species
GAAAGAGUGGUUGAAGUACACAAUGGGGGGUUGUCAACCUUCAGGUGCCUGUAAGGGCCUUUUUCU